rnacentral:lncRNA from 1 species
GUCCAAAUUAAAUGAGGCAAUUCGCCGAGCAGAGCGAGGCGAAAAAGUUUUGAGCCCUUUUUUUAGGGGGUUCGAGUGCCUGAAACGGGAGAAGCAUAUUUCAGCAUUACUAUUCAUAAUAAAAAAAAAAAAAAAAAAAUAUAACAGAAAUGCGGGGCUUUUUUUAUUAGCUAGCCUAGUAAGUAACAGAACAAAUUUUAAAAGUUAAUCUCUGUUAGUCAACCAAAACUUUCCGAUUCUCCUGUGACCAGUACUAUUGAAAAGCUUCAACACACGUUCUUAUGUAUAUAUAUAUAAAUAUAUAUUUAUGUCCAACAGCAAGUUAUAAGCUUUCUAAAAGACGAGAACAUGUUAUAAGCAGCAAUUAGGAUAUAUUUAUUGUACAUAAUCAUUAACCAUAAGAAUAGGUACAGAGAAGACUAGACCAACAUUGUUAC